GAACACUGGCUCCUGAAAUUUGUAAUCUUUUGUACACGAAGUUGAUAUAGUGUCACUGGGUAGGAGAAAGUUCAGCACAGAUUUUCAGACUGCUAAAGGCGUUGAUGUUCUUUGGAUUUAUAGUGACGCAUUGAUUGAUGAAUGGAGAAUACACAAGAAGCAAGUUAUGGCUUCAUGACCUUGCUGGAAGUGAGAGAUUAGCCAAGCCAGACGUUUAAGGAGAUCCGCUGAAAGAAACUCAAAUUAUU